rnacentral:ncRNA from 1 species
UGAUAGCGUGGAAACGGAGGUUGCUACGGGAGACCUCAGGGUCGAGGCGUAGGUUAUUUCGUGGAGCGAAUGUCAAGUUCAGAGAAACUGGCGACAA